CCAUCUAAUCGCGAAAGUGGUUGGAUAUUUCUCCUCUAUUUCUCCUUUGUAGAUUUGGCGCAUAUUCUUAGCAGAGUAUGCGCCUUUUU
rnacentral:ncRNA from 1 species